CCUACGGGAGGCAGCAGUGAGGAAUAUUGGUCAAUGGGCGAGAGCCUGAACCAGCCAAGUCGCGUGAAGGAUGACGGCCCUACGGGUUGUAAACUUCUUUUGUCAGGGAGCAAUUGAGUCCACGUGUGGGCUUAGCGAGAGUACCUGAAGAAAAAGCAUCGGCUAACUCCGUGCCAGCAGCCGCGGUAAUACGGAGGAUGCGAUCUGUAUCCGGAUUUUUUGGGUUUAAAGGGUGCGUAGGCGGAAUAUCAAGUCAGCGGUAAAAAUUCGGGGCUCAACCCCGUCGUGCCGUUGAAACUGAUGUUCUGGAGUGGGCGAGAAGUAUGCGGAAUGCGUGGUGUAGCGGUGAAAUGCAUAGAUAUCACGCAGAACUCCGAUUGCGAAGGCAGCAUACCGGCGCCCAACUGACGCUGAAGCACGAAAGCGUGGGUAUCGAACAGGAUUAGAUACCCGGGUAGUC
rnacentral:rRNA from 1 species